rnacentral:lncRNA from 1 species
GUUGCCUGGAAGAGCCCCAGGCUUCCCUGUACUCUGGACUUUGAAGUUUCACUUACACCCUGGGGUCAGUGGCGACAGACUUGAGUCCACAGCCUGUGUCCAGUUUGCUGACGCCAAGGUGUGCCCUGCUUCUGUUCCUCUAAUUUACUCUUCUUUUCUUUUUCUUUAUUGGACAAUGAUGGCAGAAAGACAAGUUUCUUUACCUGCUCCCUACAGCGGCUCAACAGCUUCUCUGAUCCUGAAUCACCCUGCGUUUGGCCACCACUGUAUUUCACAGGAACGACCUGGGGGUUGCAACUUUUCCUGGUAUAGCACGGCGAGAGAAAUGGACCUAUUCACUCCUGCAGAAGGUGCCCCGUCUCAUCACUGGGAAGUGAAUCUGGAAUAGUUUGGAAUUUUCAGUGGUGACUGCAGGGGAGCAGCUGGCAAAUGUGUGUUAACCUUUUAAGUUAAAGAUUAAGAAAUUUAUUUGGGGUAGAGGUGG